GCCAGGUGUGGUGGUGCACACCUGUAAUCCCAGCUACUCAGGAGGCUGAGGCUGGAGACUCACUUGAACCUGGGAGCUGGAGGUUGCAGGGAGCCAAGAUCAUGCCACUACUCUCCAGCCUGGGUGAUGAAGUGAGACUCUGUCUCAA
rnacentral:sRNA from 1 species